CCCAGGGCAGAGGGCAGCACAAUGGCUGCGGAGGAGCAGACCGGGAUCCCAGAGGCCGCGGAGGCGCAGGCCGGGAUCCCAGAGGCUGUGGAGGCGCAGGCCGGGAUCUUCCUUCCCCGAUGAUUCAGCGCCGGCAGUGGCGCGGUGCUGUGGGGCCAGCCGCUCUGCCAAUGGGCGGGCAGGGCCGGGCCGGGCAGGGCCGCGCGCCCCCGCGCCCCGCAGCGCGGAACCGGGGUGGCUGCAGCAGCAAGGCCCUGCCCUGCGGCCGGCUGGGAGCCGGGCCCACUGACAGCAAGGUCCCGAAGCGGGGCGAGACAGGGAGGAGAUGGAGCAGGGCACGGAAAACCUGCGAGGCAAGCCACGGCCGAUAAACAGAAGCUAAAUGAACGCGCAAGGAAAAAAGACUAGAACCUGCAAAAAAAGCAGAAAGCCUAAGAAAGAGGAAAUGGCUCAAGACUGGGUGAGAAAUGGUCCAGCACUCGCUUCGUUCCAGCUUCCAGAGAGAAGGAAAUGAACAGCAGGAUCAUGAUAUUUGCAAAGCACGAUGUUUGGAGGGCAAAAUCCAAAGAUGACUCCAAAGCUUCCUACUUGAACCAAGCUGCUGAGUACUACUAUCCAGGACUCCCAUGCUCUGCAACUCACAGUAUUUAACAGAAAAACUAAUAAAACAGUACUUACCUGUA